UGGGGAAUCUUGCGCAAUGGCCGAAAGGCUGACGCAGCGACGCCGCGUGUGGGAUGAAGGUCUUCGGAUUGUAAACCACUGUCGGGAGGGACGAAGCUCUGACGGUACCUCCAAAGGAAGCACCGGCUAACUCUGUGCCAGCAGCCGCGGUAAUACAGAGGGUGCGAGCGUUGUCCGGAAUCACUGGGCGUAAAGGGCGCGUAGGCGGCCUGGUAAGUCGGGGGUGAAACGCUGCGGCUCAACCGCAGCACUGCCUUCGAGACUGCCUGGCUUGAGCACGGUAGAGGCUGGUGGAAUUCCCGGUGUAGCGGUGGAAUGCGUAGAGAUCGGGAAGAACAUCGGUGGCGAAGGCGGCCAGCUGGGCCGUUGCUGACGCUGAGGCGCGACAGCGUGGGGAGCAAACAGGAUUAGAUACCCUGGUAGUCCACGCCGUAAACGAUGGGUACUAGGCGUCGGGGGGAGCGGACCUCUCGGUGCCGUCGCUAACGCGUU
rnacentral:rRNA from 1 species